rnacentral:lncRNA from 10 species
GCCUUUCCGCGCGCGUCCCCGACCCGGGGGGCGGGCCGAGGGACGCGGAGGGCCGGUGGGAAGGAGGGCGAAGGGUUGGAUACCGCGGCCGUGCUACCCGCCGGCUUUUCGAGGCCGGUCCCCAUGCCAAGUUCAGGCGCCUGAGAAAAGUUUUUCAGAAAGGAGGGACAAGAAUGUCACGUCCUGCCCACGAAAUGAGCAGUCCUGUGGCCCGCAAAAUGACUCCAGCUCCCACCUCCAUUCUAGCUCCGUUCUAGGCAUUCCCCGUGCGUGGGAGCCUGGGUUCCCGUCACGGAGCGCAGCCGAGCGAGGAGGGCGCGUGGCCGGGCCCUGUCUGGCUCCUUCGGCUCCCCUGUGCCCGCCUUGCGUUCCUGGUUCCCGUGCGCUCUCCUACCGGCGCGAUUCCUCUCCCCCUUGGGCAGCCUUAGGACGUGUGCCCUCGCCUCCCAGCUGGCAGAAGGGCGGCCUGCAGAGCGGGGUGGGAUGCGCCCCUUCCCCGCGGGCCGCAGGAGGAGGCGGCCCUGUGGACAGCCGCG